rnacentral:lncRNA from 1 species
UGCUGCGGCGGCUGCAGGUGCACCUGGAGGACAUGGAGCUGCGCCUGGAGCUGCCCCCACAGCCUGGGGGGGGCCUGGGGGGGGCCCUGGAGCUGCACCUGCCCAGGUGAGGGGCUCAGGUGUGUCCAGGUGUGUCCCAGGUGUGUCCCGGGUGUGUCCUGGGCGUGUCCUGGGUGUACCCAGGUGUGUCCCCGGGUGUGUGCCCAGGUGUGUGCCCAGGUGUGUGCCCAGGUGUGUCCCCAGGUGUGUCCAGGUGUGUCCUGGGUGGGUCCUGGGUGGGUCCUGGGUGUCCCCAGGUGUCCCCAGGUGUGUCCCCAGGUGUGUCCCAGGUGUGUCCCAGGUGUGUCCCAGGUGUGUUGCAGGUGUCCCAGGUGUGUCCCCAGGUGUCUGGGGUGUCUCAGGUGUGUCCCAGGUGUCCCCAGGUGUGUCCCAGGUGUGUCUCAGGUGUGGCUGUCCCCAGGGUGGAGUACGAGGACAUGGGGGAGGGUCCCGGCCCCCCCCCCGUGCUGCAGAAGCGGCUGCGGCUGCACGACCUGCGGCUGCUGUGGGCGGAGCCAGCCCCACCUGGGCAGCAGCGCUGCAGUUCCCCCGCCGCCCAUCUGGGGGCGCUGCUCCCGGGCCCUGCGGAGCUGCGGCUGCGCCUGAGGCGGAGCGAGAGAGCGGCGGGGCCGGCGGUGGGACUGGGGAAACUGGGGGGAACUGGGGGGACUGGGGGGGACUGGGAGGGACUGGGAGGGGACUGGGAGGGGACUGGGAGGGGACUGGGAGGGACUGGGAGGGACUGGGGGGGACUGGGGGGGGAUUGGGGGGACUGGGAGGGGGAUGGGGGUUUGGUUUUGGGCAUUUCUGGGCAAUUUGGGGUCUCAUUUUGGCAUUUUUGGGGUCUCGUUUUUGGGGAUUUUAGGGUGUUUUUGGGGUCUCGUUUUGGGAUUUUUGGGGUCUCGUUUUGGGGGUUUUGGUGUCUGGUUUUGGGGUUUUUGGGGUGUUUUUGGGGCCUCACUUUUAGGGUGGUUUUGGGGUCUGGUUUCGGGGUUUUUUGGGUGUUUUUGGGGUCUCAUUUUGGAGUUUUUGGGGUGAUUUUGGGGUCUCACUUUCGGGGUUUUUGGGGUGUGUUUGGGGUCUCGUUUUGGGGUUUUUGGGGUGUUUUUGGGGUCUCACUUUUGGGGUGUUUUUGGGGUGUGUUCGGGGUCUCAUUUCGGGGUUUUUGGGGUGUUUUUGGGGGACUCACUUGCGGUGUUUUGGGGAUGUUUUUGGGGUCUGGUUUCGGGGUUUUUGGGGUGUUUUUGGGGUCUGGUUUUGGGGUUUUUGGGGUGAUUUUGGGGUCUGGUUUCGGGGUUUUUGGGGUGUGUUUGGGGUCUGGUUUAGGGGUUUUUGGGGUGAUUUUGGGGUCUGGUUUAGGGGUUUUUGGGGUGAUUUUGGGGUGA